UACAGAUGUCCCGAGCGUUGUUCGGAUUCACUGGGCGUAAAGGGUGCGUAGGUGGCCUGAAAAGUUUGAUGUGAAAGCUCAGGGCUUAACCCUGAAAUGGCAUUGAAUACUGUCGGGCUGGAGGUUUGGAGGGGGGACUGGAAUUCUUGGUGUAGCAGUGAAAUGCGUAGAUAUCAAGAGGAACACCAGUGGCGAAGGCGAGUCCCUGGACAACACCUGACACUGAGGCACGAAAGCUAGGGGAGCAAACAGG
rnacentral:rRNA from 1 species